UAGUCUUGAUUUCUUGGGUAUGUGUUGGG
rnacentral:piRNA from 1 species